CCGAAGAUGUCAGCAUCUUCUGGCCGAGAUUGCGAAAAAGUCUUAUUUGCUAUCCGUAGGACUCAAAGCCCGAUAGCAUGCAGUGACUAACGUCGUCACCAGCACCUUUCCUGGAGAUGUCAGCAUCUUCCGGCCGAGACUGCAAAAAAAUUCUUAUUUCCUAUCCGUAAGACUCAAAGCCCAAUAGCAUGCAGUGACUAACAUCAUCACCUGCACCUUCCUAGGAGAUGUCUGCGUCUUCCGGUUGGGACUGCAAAAAAGUCUCAUUUGCUAUCCGUAAGACUCAUUUGUGUACUUUCAUCUUCAUCUUGUUCACUUUCGAUUUUCUUUUUGUUCGUUUUUAAUGUGUUUUAA
rnacentral:misc_RNA from 1 species